rnacentral:lncRNA from 1 species
CAGACCCCUGGGCUAACAGCCCAAGGGAUGCACCUCAAUGGCCCCCACAGGCAUCCGUAUCAGCACACCUGGACCAGCUCAGAACAACGGCCCCCACCAAUGUCUCAGUCUCCGGAGAGGACCCUCCUCUCACCAAGAUGCCCCCAGAGCCCACCAGUGCUACACAUACACCUGGUCCAGGAGGCGGAGAAGCUGAAAAAGGUGGAGCAGUUGUUGGCCCAGAGCUUCCCCACAGCAAUAAGUCCCCUGACAGAGACUGAAUACCUGACACACGACAUCAAGUGAAGAAGGGAUCUCAGUAGCCCGUCAUGAAGUGAGUGUCAUCUGACUCAGCAAGCCAAAGCGUUGGGCACUCAUAGCACCAGUCGAUCAGCAAGUACAAAUAGGAUAUGAGAAACUGGGCUCCAAGAAGUCCAGAGGCACAAGAAAGUUGCACCAACAGGUGGCUGAGACUCCUAGAACACCCACCCCUCGAGUUUCCUCUCCCUCAAUCCACACCUACAACCUCAUUGGAAGUAUAUCACCAGUUGAUUCAAGAUAAAAAUGUUUUGCCUGUUUAACAGAUUUUUUUUCAUGCCAUAAUGGUAUAGCAGAACUGGAUGGCUACAACACCACAACCUCAAUCAAGAACUUCCCUGAGGGAAGUAGUAAAGAGAAGCAUUACCAAUAAUCGGAACUGAGAGGAGUAUAUUUAGUCAUCUACUUUAUAAUGAGAAAUGGUUAGACUUAUGGAUCUGUAC